CCCUUAGAUGUUCUGGGCCGCACGCGUGCUACACUGAGUAAUUCAAUGGGUAAGGGAGCGCUAGAGCAUUACCUAAUCUUGAAAUUUGCUCGUGAUGGGGAUCGACGGUUGCAAUUUUCCGUCGUGAACGAGGAAUACCUUGUAGGCGCAUGUCAUCAUCAUGCGCCGAAUACGUCCCUGCCCUUUGUACACUCCGCCCGUCGCUCCUACCGAUUGAGUGAUCCGGUGAGGCUCUGGGACCUGGACGGAAAGAGCGUUUCGCUUGUUCUGUUUGGGAAACUUGGUCGAACCUUAUCAUUUAGAGGAAGGAGAAGUCGUAACA
rnacentral:rRNA from 1 species